CCUACGGGGGGCAGCAGUGGGGAAUUUUGGACAAUGGGCGCAAGCCUGAUCCAGCAAUGCCGCGUGUGUGAAGAAGGCCUUCGGGUUGUAAAGCACUUUUGGCGGGAGCGAAACGGCGUUUGCUAAUACCAGGCGCUAAUGACGGUACCCGCAGAAUAAGCACCGGCUAACUACGUGCCAGCAGCCGCGGUAAGACGUAGGGUGCGAGCGUUAAUCGGAAUUACUGGGCGUAAAGCGUGCGCAGGCGGCUUUGUAAGACAGGUGUGAAAUCCCCGGGCUUAACCUGGGAACUGCACUUGUGACUGCAAGGCUAGAGUGUGUCAGAGGGAGGUGGAAUUCCGCGUGUAGCAGUGAAAUGCGUAGAUAUGCGGAGGAACACCGAUGGCGAAGGCAGCCUCCUGGGAUAACACUGACGCUCAUGCACGAAAGCGUGGGGAGCAAACAGGAUUAGAUACCCCUGUAGUC
rnacentral:rRNA from 1 species